rnacentral:rRNA from 3 species
GGACUACCAGGGUUUCUAAUCCCGUUCGCUCCCCUGGCUUUCGCGUCUCAGCGUCAGUAAGCGUCCAGGACCUCGCUUUCGCCACGGGCGUUCCUUCCGAUCUCAACGCAUUUCACCGCUCCACCGGAAGUUCCAGGUCCCCCUACGCCCCUCCAGAAGAGUCGUAUCCGCGCCACUUCCCCGGUUGAGCCGGGGGAUUUCAGCUGCGGACGUGCCCUUCCGCCUACACGCGCUUUAAGCCCAGUGAUUCCGAAUAACGUUCGCACGGUUCGUCUUACCGCGGCUGCUGGCAC